GAUGAACGCUAGCUACAGGCUUAACACAUGCAAGUCGAGGGGAAACGACGGGGAAGCUUGCUUCCCCGGGCGUCGACCGGCGCACGGGUGAGUAACGCGUAUCCAACCUGCCUCUGACUGAGGGAUAACCCGUCGAAAGUCGGCCUAAUACCUCAUGGUAUCGUCUGCGGGCAUCCAACGACGAUUAAAGAUUUCAUCGGUCAGGGAUGGGGAUGCGUUUGAUUAGCUUGUUGGCGGGGUAACGGCCCACCAAGGCUACGAUCAGUAGGGGUUCUGAGAGGAAGGUCCCCCACAUUGGAACUGAGACACGGUCCAAACUCCUACGGGAGGCAGCAGUGAGGAAUAUUGGUCAAUGGGCGAGAGCCUGAACCAGCCAAGUAGCGUGCAGGAAGACGGCCCUAUGGGUUGUAAACUGCUUUUAUGCGGGGAUAAAGUGAGGGACGUGUCCCUCAUUGCAGGUACCGCAUGAAUAAGGACCGGCUAAUUCCGUG
rnacentral:rRNA from 1 species